UACGAAGGGGGCUAGCGUUGCUCGGAAUCACUGGGCGUAAAGGGUGCGUAGGCGGGUCUUUAAGUCAGGGGUGAAAUCCCAGAGCUCAACUCUGGAACUGCCUUUGAUACUGGGUAUCUUGAGUAUGGAAGAGGUAAGUGGAAUUGCGAGUGUAGAGGUGAAAUUCGUAGAUAUUCGCAGGAACACCAGUGGCGAAGGCGGCUUACUGGUCCAUAACUGACGCUGAGGUGCGAAAGCGUGGGGAGCAAACAGG
rnacentral:rRNA from 1 species